rnacentral:sRNA from 1 species
GUCAACAACCCACCACUGACUUGAGUACAAGUGCAGUGGGGGCUUGAAAUCAAGCCCAAGUUGACCAGACUGUGUACUAAUCAUGUACUCCGUUAGUGGCAAGUGUUCAAGUUCUUACCUACGGAUGCGAAGCUAGUCUGUAGCUCUAAA